AUGCGAUAAGUAAUGUGAAUUGCAGAAUUCAGUGAAUCAUCGAAUCUUUGAACGCACAUUGCGCCCACCAGUACUCUGGUGGGCAUGCCUGUCCGAGCGUCAUUUCAACCCUCAGGGCCCGUCCGCGGGACCUGGUGUUGGGGAUCGGCCCCUACCGGCCGGCCCCGAAAUACAGUGGCGGCACACCCGCGACCUCCUCUGCGUAGUAGCAAUGCCUCGCAGCUGGAUAGCGGAUGCGCCUCGCCGUAAAACCCCCCACUUACCAAAGGUUGACCUCGGAUCAGGUAGGAAUACCCGCUGAACUUAA
rnacentral:misc_RNA from 1 species